UACGUAGGCAGCGAGCGUUGUUCGGAGUUACUGGGCGUAAAGGGUGUGUAGGCGGUUGCUUAAGUUUGGUGUGAAAUCUCCCCGGCUCAACCGGGAGGGUGCGCCGAAUACUGAGUGACUAGAGUGCGGGAGAGGAAAGUGGAAUUCCUGGUGUAGCGGUGAAAUGCGUAGAUAUCAGGAGGAACACCGGUGGUGUAGACGGCUUUCUGGACCGUAACUGACGCUGAGACACGAAAGCGUGGGUAGCAAACAGG
rnacentral:rRNA from 1 species